GACUUCCUCAUUGCGUCUUUCAAAACCCUCGCCUAUGUACGACAAGGACAAAGGGCAUCUUCCUAAUGGAUUAGUAAAAAGUGACAAGUCAUUGAAGGCCAGCUCAGCAAGUUCUCCAAAUCAGGUUGUGAAGUCUAGUCAAGAAGUGAAGCAAUCGAAAGGUGAGGUGACAGUGAGUUCAAAAUAUUCUCGGCAUCUACGCAGGACCAACUCGUUCGAUGUUCCCACCAAGGAGCAAGACACAAAAGAGGAGCCAGAAAAAGCGGUGACUGAAAACUUCUCCUCUUUAAAAGCAAAACUACAAUCUUACAGAGAUUAUCUCUUGAGUAAGUCAAACAAUUCAAAGAAAGAGAGGCAAACUGAGGAUAAAAAGGAGGACAAUAGCCCUCUUAGGAGAUCCAACUCUUUCACAAUGAAUUAUCUCAAAAGGCGGAACAGUUCCUCAGACUCUGAUGAUCAAAAGUCGACCAAUGAUACCGCUACAAACAGAAGCAGACGGCGAGACAAGGAAUCCUCACAAGAGAAAGCAGACUGACAAAGAGGACAAGAAAAAGCCUCCAGUGUGGAAUCAUUUAGCAGCUCCCAGGUCCUUCCGACCUCAUACCUCUACAACUACACAGAAGAGCAAUGGCCUAAGGAAAUCGGGACCACUGAAGGCUUUGUCCUCCAUCUUUACCUCAUCAUCUCCAUCAUCAUCAUCCCCAUCUUCACCGCCAGUCUCAUCGGAAGUGGCGCUAUCCCAGACUGCACCAGUGCCACCACCCAGACGAUCAAAGGAACAUUCCACAGCAACAGAAAGCAAGGAUGAUAUUUCACUGGUUCCACAAGCUCAGAAAAGACCCAAGGAAAAUCCGUUUGGAACUGUGUCCAACAUGUGGAGACCUAUGUCUAUGUCGAAAAGUAGCAUUAGACAGAUUGAAUCUGAGGAGACUAAUUUCCGGGUGUAUAAUAAUUUUGAUGCUUUACGUGAUAUGUCAGAGGGUAAAACACCUCCAAAGGAAGAGACAAAAGUGGUGGUGGCAAGCACCAAGUCCAAACCUCCAGUGAUCCCAACAGGAGAGCAACGGGAGAGAAAAGGUUCGUUAUCGGAGGAGAGUCACGCUGUAGUGCGAGACAGUAUAAGUGUGAGUCAUUCUGAUUCAGUGAAGCAAAUAAUGGCUCGAACGUACAAAACAGAGGACUUUGGAACUGCAACUAAAGACUCGGACAGGCUUCUGUCUGAGCUUAAACAAACUAUGGAGACCCUUAAAGACUCUCGCAUUGAUCGAAAAUCAUCUCAGUUUGAUAUGUGUAAGGACGAGCUUAUCAAUCAAGUGAAAAACUUUGUUAUGGAUGCCAAAUUUCUUGUCAGCAAUGCGUCACAGACCAAAGAGAAAAUGGCUGCCAAUCUAAAUAACAGUAUGCAUACUCUUGCUAAAAUCUUCCUCCAUACUCAGGCGACCAUGAUAAUGAUGGAGGCCGUUCAUCAGGCACAGCACCUCGGCUUUGAGGUGAUUAAGGUGACCAACGCUUACAAGAGCACAGUGAAUGCGGCACAAGCCGCAGUGGGGAAACCCAUAGGCGAUCCCCACAUGCGAUAUCUCAUGAGACAAGCCACUAAUCUCGCACAACUCAUCAGUGGCUUGCUCAAAACACUCAAAGCUCUAGAGCAAAAGUAAAUUCCUUUGGGAUUUUUGUUUAUGAUUUCUGCAAAAUGUGGCAAAAACUGUAGAUGAUUUUGGAUGCUUUACAAACUAUGGACAUUUGAUUGGCCAGUGUCUGUGUUCUCAUUGCUUCUUGAUGCAUUUAUUAUCAUUCUUUUUUAUACGUGUUUAUAUUGAGAACUUGUACUGGUAGUCAUUAGGUUGUUCAAUAAUGUCUGUAGCAGGCUUUUGACUUGAAUGGUUUCUCAUUGUUAAAGUGAGUGAGGGAGCUUGUGUGUAAUUGUAUGGUUGUAACAGACACAUGUAAGCAUGGCUUCAUAAUAUUUUUCAUCUACCGGUAUUUAAAAUUAUGUGCUAUAAAUAUUUAACAUCUACCAACAUAUAUUCUCUACUGUUUCUGUGUUCCUUUCCUAUAGAUUUCUUGCUGAGAACUUGGAAUGCUUUAAAUGUACAAUUCAAAUAAUGCAUCUUUUUUUUAACUUCUGAAACAUUUACAGGUAAACAAAAAUUGAAUGAAAAGAACUGUGGAAAUUUAUUAGAUAGAAUAACCAUGUUAUUUUGAGAAGAAAAAAAGGAGAAUCUCAUUUUUCACAUGAAAGAUAAGAAUACCUUUAUUAUGAUGCUAGGAACAAACAAGAUAUGUAAUUAACAUGGCAUUUGAAACGGCACUCUUAAUAUGAUGCACUAGGAACAGAAUGAAUAAGCAUGUCUUUCUUAGACAUAAGGUUGUAUAAAACUUACAUAUUUGUAGUUAUACUAUAUUGGUUGACUGUGAUAAAUUUGUUACUGUACCAAUGUUUUUUUGUUUGAUACUCAACUAUUCCAUUGUUAUAAACUGUGUAUAUAUAU
rnacentral:misc_RNA from 1 species